rnacentral:pre_miRNA from 1 species
UAUAAGGGAUUUUGAGUUUUUGCUUGCAACGUUUGACCACUCAUCUUAUUCAAAAUUUUUUAAAAUUAUUAUUUAUUUUAUUUGUGACUUACUUUAUUAUCCACAGUACUUUAAAUACAACUUUUCGUUUUUUAUAUUUGCAAAAAAAAUUGAAUAAGACGAGUGGUCAAACGUUGCAAGCAAAAACUCAAAAUCCCUUAUA